AGUGAACGCUGGCGGUAGGCCUAACACAUGCAAGUCGAACGGCAGCACAGUAAGAGCUUGCUCUUACGGGUGGCGAGUGGCGGACGGGUGAGGAAUACAUCGGAAUCUACUUUUUCGUGGGGGAUAACGUAGGGAAACUUACGCUAAUACCGCAUACGACCUACGGGUGAAAGCAGGGGAUCUUCGGACCUUGCGCGAUUGAAUGAGCCGAUGUCGGAUUAGCUAGUUGGCGGGGUAAAGGCCCACCAAGGCGACGAUCCGUAGCUGGUCUGAGAGGAUGAUCAGCCACACUGGAAUUGAGACACGGUCCAGACUCCUACGGGAGGCAGCAGUGGGGAAUAUUGGACAAUGGGCGCAAGCCUGAUCCAGCCAUACCGCGUGGGUGAAGAAGGCCUUCGGGUUGUAAAGCCCUUUUGUUGGGAAAGAAAAGCAGCAGGUUAAUACCCCGCUGUCCUGACGGUACCCAAAGAAUAAGCACCGGCUAACUUCGUG
rnacentral:rRNA from 1 species